UAAUAAAGGUGAGGGGUAAGGGUGAGGGGUCGGGGUGAGAGGUCAGGGUUCGCUUUGCUGUAAAUGUUGGAAAUAUGAAUGAAUACUGAAGCCAACAUAUUCAGAGGGCGUGAACCCGUUUCUCUCCUUAACUGCCAAUCAAAGGUGUUUAUUUUCACCUGCUGUCAGGAGGUUUCAUCCAUUCAUCUGAAAUGAUUUAUGUUAAAUAAAUGAAGAAGCGCGAGUCCAGGUGUACGAAGAGAUCUGUCCACCAUGUUGAUGCUUCACAGACGGACCGACCUUGGCUUUACUGCAGAGGAGUGAGAGCAGCGAGGUGUAUGAAAGUGUUCAGGAUGAAGAAUAAUGAAGAAGACCUUGGAAAGCUGCUUUUUCUGAGGUAAAGAAUCUUCCUUCAAUAGACGACCGAGUACAACGGGAACAUUAGAGCAAAGAGACUUUACGGUUCUAUCAACAACGAAGCCAUCACCUCUGGAACGUCACUCCACACCAGAAAUGUUGUUCUAACGACACCGAGGUCGACUACGGGGGCGGCAAAAAAAAAGUGCAAUCCCUCGGGUAUGAAGAUGUUUCUCACAUCCAGUUUCAAAGCAGCUGAACACAAAGACAAGUCAAAAAGUUCUCAGACGCAGUGGAUGUUAUCAUUUCACGGGAUGUUUCAAGAAUUAAAUUUCUUGAAAGUAUUCUUUCUAAUAAUCACAUUUUCCAAUGAGUUGUUGGUCAAAUCUGUGGCACAA